UUUCUUUCCUUCCGCGGAGGCCGUGGCGGCCGGCGCGUUGCGAGCCGUGUGCGCCGCGGGGCCUUCCACACCGGGGCGCGGGCCGGACAGGCGCUCCCUCCCGGAGCCUAGCUGGGCGCUCCAGACCCCGGGCGCGGACGCCAGCGCCCUAACGUGGUCUCUUUCUCCAGGAAAAUCCCUGAGGGGCCCGAGGCGGCCUGCGGCCUGUUCCGACGCUUGCUUUUUCCUGGAUGGCUGACGGCUCUCGCCCCGGCGCGGCCCGGGGAACCAGCGCGGACGAGCGCCCGCCAGCCCCGCGGUGGAGUGCGAGCUCGGAGGGGCUGGGUACCGGUGAAGACGCCGGACGUGGCGGAGGGUGAAAGAUGAAGUGCUUGGGGCGGAUUGCUCUAGUUUGGAUACCACGUGGGACGCAAAGGUGACUUCAGGUCAGGAUGUCUUUGAUGAUUUUGAGCUUCACAAGUUGCUUGGAUCGCAAAAGUUCCACGACUCUUGAGUAGUGAAUGCCUGGCAAACAUGCGGGAACAUACAUUUAAGAGAAUAAUAUGAAUAAAUGUUUUAAUAUUUGA